AUGCCCAAGCGCACCAUGGGAGGGAGGGCCGACGCCGGGGCGGACGCCAUGGCACAUGAAGCAUCCAAGCGCCGUGCGAAGCUGCACAUGGAGAAACCCCUCCCUGCCGGCGAGGGGUCCAGCUGGCAGCAGGGCGGCCGUGACAUCGUCGACCAUGUCCAGGCUCCGGUACAGGUGUCACCUAUGCCGGAGCAGGUGGCUCCUCCGCCGGAGCAGGUAGCUGCUCUGGCUCCUCAGACGGAGCAGGUGUCUCCUCUGCCGCGGGUGACGCCUCCGGUGUCUGAGCCUGUGGUCGCCGGCGACGUCAACAAAGACGACGUGGCUCCUCUGGCUCCUCUGCCGGAGUAG
rnacentral:rRNA from 1 species